AAAUAGAUACCCCCGGGUAGUCCACCCCGUAAACGUUGGGAACUAGUUGUGGGGUCCUUUCCACGGAUUCCGUGACGCAGCUAACGCAUUAAGUUCCCCGCCUGGGGAGUACGGCCGCAAGGCUAAAAACUCAAAAGGAAUUGACGGGGACCCGCACAAGCGGCGGAGCAUGCGGAUUAAUUCGAUGCAACGCGAAGAACCUUACCAAGGCUUGACAUACACCGGAAACGGCCAGAGAUGGUCGCCCCGCAAGGUCGGUGUACAGGUGGUGCAUGGUUGUCGUCAGCUCGUGUCGUGAGAUGUUGGGUUAAGUCCCGCAACGAGCGCAACCCUCGUUCUAUGUUGCCAGCACGUAAUGGUGGGAACUCAUGGGAUACUGCCGGGGUCAACUCGGAGGAAGGUGGGGAUAACGUCAAAUCAUCAUGCCCCUUAUGUCUUGGGCUUCACGCAUGCUACAAUGGCCGGUACAAAGGGCUGCAAUACCGUGAGGUGGAGCGAAUCCCAAAAGCCGGUCCAGUUCGGAUUGAGGUCUGCAACUCGACUCAUGAAGUCGG
rnacentral:rRNA from 1 species